UUCUCGUCUCAAACCUCCACUCAACCUGACAUUUACAACAUUUGCAACUUCUGUUUCACCUGAUAAAUUGUCCUCUGCAGAAAAAGUGGAUUUAUCAGAAAACCAAAACAAAUUAGACAAAUUAUAUCAAGCUAAGGCUGACGGUGCUUAUGUUAGAUCUAGAAGGCAAUGGAUAGAGGAAGGGCAUAUUUUUUUAGACUGGAAAAAUCACAAAUUGCUACCAACACAAUUCACCGACUUCUUAUAGAUAAUGUUAUAUAUUAUAAGGAUCUAUACAGCUCCAAAUAUUGUGAGAAUAAUGCUAAUAAGUUUCUAAAUUCUUUGACAGACUUAAAGCAAAUCACUCAAAUGACCGAGAUUUUUGCGAUCGUCCUAUUACAUUAAAAUAAAUACUUGAUUCUGUUGGGAUCUGGAGGUUUGUCCACUUUCUCCACCAGAGGGCGCACGAGAUCUCCUGGAGCAUGAGCUGUCUACAACACCUGUCCUCUAUCUGCUCAUCAGGAGGCUCCCUACUUAAGGAGGCAGAGACCUACACUCCAGUGCCAGAGUGUUUGCCAGUAAUGAUCGAUCCUGCCUGACAAACUGAAAUCCUGGAGAGUUGUCUCUGCUGGUUACCUGCCUACCCGCUCUCAGUUGAACUCUGGAGGGCUGCAUCUGUCUGUAAUCUGCCUGCCCGCCCUCAGAGAUAACUUGGAGAGAAAAGACUCAGUCAGAGAUCAGCCUGCCUACACUCAGUAAGCUCUGCCUCCGCCCACAGCCCUCUGCCUGCCGACAGCCUCUGGUCCCUCAAGGUUCCCCCCCUCUGCAGCUUCACUCCACUCCAGAACAGUGGUGAACCCACUCCUGACCAGUCAACCACCCCCUUGGACCAGUUCAUUUAUUGUACAUUUCUGUAAUUAAACCUUUGAACUUUUUCUCUGCCUCCGAGUGUUUCUGCAUGUGGGUUAGACAUCUUAAUCCCAACAUGACAGAUUCAAUUAAGUGCCUGAAAAAUAAUAAAUCACCUGG